rnacentral:sRNA from 2 species
AAUGAGCCUCAAUCGCGGUGGAACACCGGUGUGAAUCCGGGACGGUCCCGCCACUGUGACGCUCCCGGGCGAAGUCAGACCAGAACCGCGCUCACCCACCCCGACCGGGGUGGGA